AUGGCCAAAGAUGAGAACUCGAAUCUGAAUGGAUAUCCUUCUGCUCUGAUGGGUUAAAGGAUUUACCUGAGGCCA
rnacentral:snoRNA from 1 species